GCUUCCUGCCUUACCAUGUGAUCCUUCUCGUGCACGAGUAUCCACUCUUCCCCGAUCGCACCCGCCAUGUCUUGACACAGACGGAAAGCCUUCACCACGUGCCUAACAGAUGAGGCCUCCUCACUCACCCUCCAGAACUGACAAAUGUGGCAGCACCUCUGGGCAGGAAUUGUGUGGUGAAGGCAGGCGCCCUCAAGCUCUCAAGUGAAGUUCCGAGGUCCUGCCCUGUGACGGCUACACAGAGUCUACUGGCAGGCAUAGCAUGAGGAGCAGGGAGGAGAAGUCAUCAAGCCAGAAAGGCAAUGGACCACAAAACUGUGUCACCAUACAAGUUAAGCUGAAUUGAGACACCAAGUUUACACCUAUUCUUUCUGAAAGCAGCCGGAAGAUGGCUCUCAGCAUGAGAUCUCCAGAGCGGUCAUGAUGACGGAGUCCAAGAAAGACGUCAAGGCGUUGUCUUCUGCCUCCGGCCUUGUGCGCCUCUUGCUGAAGCCUGUGGUUCCAAGCUCCUGUUUGCUUCCUUCUCUCUGCCAGGUCUACAGGACCCAGGGCCAAGGCUGACCCUCUCUGAGAGUCAGCAAAGCUUUUUACCGUUCCUGGUGAAAAGCUUUCCUUGGCCUUUGUGGAGCCCUCUCCCUGGCCUCCAGUGCCCACGCUAACGCAUCCCGUCUGCUGGGCUUCACCAUCCACGGCCUUUGCGGCUGUUACGUUAGGUCUUUGAAAGAGGGGACCGGCUGUGGUGAUCUUUCUGGGAGGCAAAAGGAGGCCAGCAAAGCAGGAGGCAGCCUCAAGACUGACCUUGACGGCACUGACCUUGACGGCACCAGAGAUGGUGUUGAGCGUCCCGACAGCCGCUACCCAGAAGAAGAAGCUAUUACGUGCAUAUGACCCCAGAGCAAAUGGGGAGACACGAGGGUCACUUUAUCAAGCUACGUUUCUUGAUGUGUCCCCUGGGUGCAAGGUGUCCCUGCUCUGGAGCACCAGCUGGCCAUCUCUUAGAGAGAAACCCUGGUCUUUUUGGCAAGGGCUGAGAGGGAUGAGGAAAGAGAAAAAGACACCUUGGUCACACCGAGUCUGCGGAUGCUCCCCCCCAGGCUGUAGUAGUAGCUUCAUGAACUCCAGCCAGUGUGGCUCCACAGAUGAUAUUAAAGCAGUCUUCACGGUAAA